AGGGUAUUCGUGCGUGGAUGGCAGCUCAGGAUCAGCCUCAUGAAAAUCUUAUAUUCCCUAAGGAGGUUCUACCACGUGGAAAUGCUCUUUAAUUGAACUUUCGUUUUAGCUGGUCGUGACCAAGAAACCACCGGCUUUGCUUGGUGGGCUGGGAAUGCCAAACUUAUCAAUUUGUCCGGUAAACUGCUUGGAGCUCAUGUAGCCCAUGCCAGAUUAAUCGUAGCGCUGCUCCUCCUAAUACCGUUCUCCUAG
rnacentral:rRNA from 1 species